CCCUGACAGAGGGGAGCCGGGGUACAGUAUGCCCUACAUCCCCCCUUAAUCUGGCUAUGGGUACAGGUUACACAGUGAAGGAGAACGGGCAAGCAGGUGACUGCAGGAAAUGUAUAUGACCGGUGUAUAUGGGGGUUUUUAGGAACAUUCAGAUCUCUUUGAAACCUAUGCGGAACAUACAGUAAGAAACCUGGACUCACUCUGCAGGGAGGAAACAGGCUGACCUUCCAUAAGACUUUCCAGAGGAGAAAUCUCUUAUCGAUUCAAAACUCUGGCGUAUACUGGAGAAUGACAGGUGAGGCACUGCCUGCCCCGACUGCACAUCAGUGAUGAGAACAUCUAAUUGAACUUAUCCCUUGGAAUUCAUUA